rnacentral:rRNA from 1 species
CCUGGUUGAUCCUGCCAGUAACAUAUGCUUGUCUCAAAGAUUAAGCCAUGCAGGUCUAAGUGCACACGGAAGGUACGUGAAACUGCGAAUGGCUCAUUAAAUCAGUUAUGGUUCCUUUGAUCGCUCCACACGUUACUCGGAUAACUGUGGUAAUUCCAGAGCUAAUACAUGCAAACGAGCGCUGACCGGUCCUCUCUCGGGGGGGCCGGGAUGCGUGCAUUUAUCAGACCCAAAACCCACCGGGGGGACCCGCGAGGGUUUCCCCCGGCCCUUUGGUGACUCUAGAUAACCUCGGGUCGAUCGCGCGCCCCCGCGGCGGCGACGUCUCAUUCGAAUGUCUGCCCUAUCAGCUGUCGAUGGUAGCAUAGGGGGCUACCAUGGUGACCACGGGUAACGGGGAAUCAGGGUUCGAUUCCGGAGAGGGAGCCUGAGAAAUGGCUACCACAUCCAAGGAAGGCAGCAGGGCGCGCAAAUUACCCAUUACCGACACGGUGAGGUAGUGACGAAAAAUAAACGAUGCAGGUCUCUUUCGAGGCCCUGUAAUCGGAUGAACGUAUCCUAAACACAUGGGUGAGGACCCAUUGGAGGGCAAGUCUGGUGCCAGCAGCCGCGGUAAUUCCAGCUCCAAUAGCGUAUAUUAAAUUUGCUGCAGUUAAAAAGCUCGUAGUUGGACUUCGGGAGUGGGCUGGCGGUCCGCCGCGAGGCGAGCUACCGCCUGUCCCAGACCCUGCCUCCCGGCGCCCCCCGGAUGCCCUUGGUGUAGUUGGACUUCGGGAGUGGGCUGGCGGCGUUAUUCCCAUGACCCGCCGGGCAGCGUGUGGGGAAACCAGAGUCUUUGGGUUCCGGGGGGAGUAUGGUUGCUUGGGUGUCCGGUCCUCAGGGGUCGGAGCGUUUACUUUGAAAAAAUCAGAGUGUUCAAAGCGGGCACCAAACCGCCUGAAUGCCUGAGCUAGGAAUAAUGGAAUAGGACUCCGGUUCUAUUUUGUGGGUUUCCUGAACCAGGGCCAUGAUUAAGAGGGACGGCCGGGGGCAUUCGUAUUGCGCCGCUAGAGGUGAAAUUCUUGGACCGGCGCAAGACGGACGAAAGCGAAAGCAUUUGCCAAGAAUGUUUUCAUUAAUCAAGAACGAAAGGUCGGAGGUUCGAAGACGAUCAGAUACCGUCGUAGUUCCGACCGUAAACUAUGCCGACCCGCGAUCCGGCGGCGUUAUUCCCAUGACCCGCCGGGCAGCGUGCGGGGAAACCAGAGUCUUUGGGUUCCGGGGGGAGUAUGGUUGCAAAACUGAAACUUAAAGGAAUUGACGAAGGGCACCACCAGGAGUGGAGCCUGCGGCUUAAUUUGACUCAACACGGGGAACCUCACCCGGCCCGGACACGGAAAGGAUUGACAGACUGAUGGCUCUUUCUCGAUUCUGUGGGUGGUGGUGCAUGGCCGUUCUUAGUUGGUGGAGUGAUUUGUCUGGGUUAAUUCCGAUAACGAACGAGAUUCCUUCGUGCUAAAUAGUUACGCGGCCCCCCGCGGUCGCGGUUAACUUCCUUAGAGGGACCAGUGGCGUAUAGCCACGCGAGAUGGAGCAAUAACAGGUCUGUGAUGCCCUUAGAUGUCCGGGGCUGCACGCGCGCCACAAUGGCCGGGCCAGCGUGUGCCUACCCUACGCCGAGAGGCGCGGGUAAUCCGCUUAAACCCGUUCGUGACGGGGAUUGGGGAUUGCAAUUAUUCCCCAUGAACGAGGAAUUCCCAGUAAGUGCGGGUCAUCAGCUCGCGCUGAUUAAGUCCCUGCCCUUUGUAUACACACCGCCCGUCGCUACUACCGAUUGGAUGGUUAUGUGAGGUCCUCGGAUCGGCCACGCCGGGGCUCCUUCGCGGGGCCUUGGUGCUGUGCUGAAAAGUCGAUCGAACUUGAUCAUCUAGAGGAAGUAAAAGUCGUAACAAGGUUUCCGUAGGUGAACCUGCGGAAG